AGAUAAAUAAUAAGUAUAUUGUGCAUGGAGUCUAAAAAUAUCGAUCUGAUAAGUACUUCUAGGUAUAUUUGUAAAUAUAGGAUUAUAAAUUGCUUGAAUAUAAUGAAUCAAAGAAUCCGAAGAAGCAUAAGUGAAAGACAAACAACCCACAACUAUUAUUUUUGGUAUUUCUUCUCGGUCCUUCAUUUUAUUAUAAUUCUUAACUAAUUUACCGGUUGUUAGGUUCAAUCUAGUUUGUGC
rnacentral:lncRNA from 1 species